rnacentral:rRNA from 1 species
CACGUAGGGGGCGAGCGUUGUCCGGAAUCAUUGGGCGUAAAGAGCUCGUAGGCGGCUCAGUAAGUCGGGUGUGAAACCCCCAGGCUCAACCUGGGGACGCCACCCGAUACUGCUGUGGCUAGAGUCCAGUAGGGGAGUGUGGAAUUCCCGGUGUAGCGGUGAAAUGCGCAGAUAUCGGGAGGAACACCUAUGGCGAAGGCAGCUCGCUGGGACGUUACUGACGCUGAGACGCGAAAGCGUGGGGAGCAAACAGG